ensembl:lncRNA
GGAAACUGCUCUUUGGGUUGCUGUGAGAGCAGACCCUGGUCCCAGUAGGUCCCUGGGCUGUGGUGCAGGUCCUUAGGUAUAGACAAGGAAUGUUACUGCCCCAGAUAGGUGACUUUUACCUAGAAUUCUACCAGGGGGGCUUCAUUCUCACUCAUGUCAUACCUAAAAGUUAUUAGAAGGCAACUGAAAUGGUCUUGUGAGUAAAAUAAUGCCUACCCACACCCCAUGACAUCCAUGUCCUACUCCCAAAAAGGAAUACAUUAGGUCAGAUGGUUGCCAGUUGGCUGACCUUGAGAUGAGAUUAUCUUGGAUUACCUGGUGGGUCCAGGGGAAUCACAAAGGUGCUUAAAAGCAGAAGAGGGAGGGCAAGAGAGAGCCAGAGAGAUAAGAGCAUAUGAAGGACUCAGUUCAACAUUGCUAGAGACAUGGAGCCAUGAGCCAAGGAGUGUGGGUGGCCUCUAGAAGCUGGACUACGUUGCUGCCAACACCCACAUUUUAGCCCAGUGAAAUCCAUGCCAGACUUCUGACCUCCAGAACUAUUGGGAACCUCAAAGAAUAAGGCAAGUGGCCUAGGCAUCUCAAAGUCAAGAGUCAGCAGUGGAUCACAAGAUUUGAUUGGUCCUGCAGUUUAUGAAGCCAGCACAAGUAUAUAGACAUAGGACAUUUUUGAAGGAUACAGGAGGAACAGCAAGGGUAUCCAGUGAGCAGAGCUGGAGGAACUGAAAUUCAGAAAGAACAGAAGAUAGACUUUUUUCCUGAACAUAGUAUUAAUAGUACCCCAGUGGAUUAUCCUUCACACCAUGAAAUUUUCCCUCAGGAUAAAUCUGAGAACACCAUAGAAGGUUUUUCAAAAAAGACUCUACCUGGCCAUUCUGAGUCAGAAUUUCUGCUGAUAAUGCCCUGGCUAGGUAUUUUG